CCCUUAGACACUCUAGGCGGCACGCGCGCUACAAUGGGUGGAAGACCGUGUUACUGCCUUCGAAAGAAGGGGUGAAUCACGAAUUCUUACCCGUGAAUGGGAUAGUUUGUUGCAAUUUUCGGACUUGAACUAGGAAUCCCUUGUAAGCAUGCUCAAGAAUAGCGUGUUGAAUACGUCCCUGCCCUUUGUACACACCGCCCGUCGCUCCUACCGAUCGAAGAGUUAGGUGAAUUGUUUUGAUCGAUAAGAUUUGACUAUGGUCAACUCUCGUUGUGAAAUUCUGUGAAUCUGACUGUUUAGAGGAAGGAAAAGUCGUAACA
rnacentral:rRNA from 1 species